CAAGAUCUUGGUCUUAAAUCCCCUAUUACUUCUUCCCCUAAUUAUACAUGCAAGCCUCACCAUCACAGUGAAAUAGCCCCCCCCCACAGGGCCGGAGCCGGUAUCAGGCAACACAAGCCAACAACACCAAGCCACUUCAAGCCACACCCCCACGGGCAUACAGCAGUAGUUAAUAUUAGGCUAUAAGCGAAAGCUCGACCUAGUAAGGGACCCAAGGGCCGGUUAAUCUCCGUGCCAGCGACCGCGGUUACACGACAGACCCAAAAUAAUACUAAACGGCGUAAAACACGACUAAAUAAAUUGUCCCAUAUUAGAAACGAAAAUAAGCUAGGCUGUAAAAAGCCAUAAGCAACAAUAACUUCACCUAAUAAAAUACACCUUCCACUCGUGAAAGCUAGGAUACAAACUAAGAUUAGAUACCUUACUAUGCCUAGCCUUAACAUAACAAUUAAAUAACCCAUUGUUCGCCAAAUAACUACGAGUUACAACUUAAAAUUUAAAAGACUUGACGGUACCCCACAACAACCUAGAGGAGCCUGUCUAAUAAACGAUACCCCACGAUUAACCCCACCUACCAUAGCCUACCAGUCUAUAUACCGCCGUCGCCAGCCCACCUCCUGAGAGAAUAAAAGUGAGCCAAACAGCUUAUCACUAACACGACAGGUCAAGGUGUAACUAAUGGGUAGGAACAAGAUGGGCUACAUUUUCUACUCAGAACAUACGAAUUAAACUUUGAAAAAACAAUUGAAGGCGGAUUUAGCAGUAUAUUAAAGACAAAACACUUAAUUGAAACCAGCGCAAUGGGGUGCGCACACACCGCCCGUCAUCCCUGCUACCAAAAUUUCACAUUUAUAAUAACUACACACAUACCAACCAGGGCAAGUCGUAACAUGGUAAGCGUACUGGAAAGUGCGCUUAGAAACAA
rnacentral:ncRNA from 1 species